rnacentral:rRNA from 1 species
AUCCCUCGGCUCGUGGAUCGAUGAAAGACACAGCAAACUGUGUGUCGUCAUGUGAACUGCAGGACACAUGAGCAUCACAUUUUGAACGCAAAUGGCGG